CCCGAGAUGAGUUCUCCCUGAGACUUUAGGUCUCCUGAAGGAACGUUGAAGACGACGACGUUGAUAGGCCGGGUGUGUAAGCGCAGCGAUGCGUUGAGCUAACCGGUACUAAUGAACCGUGAGGCUUAACCUUACAACGCCGAAG
rnacentral:rRNA from 1 species